rnacentral:lncRNA from 1 species
UUUGUGACCCAAAGAGGGCCGAGUCACACAGAUAAAUAGGACACCUCUGAUGGCUUCCACUCUGGACAGCAGCAAUGACCCCAGCCACCCUCACCCCAAAGCCAGGGAAACAUCAUCUUGUCAUCUCUGGAUUUUUCCUCACCCCCUUGGGUUAAAGCUGAGCAGACAGGGUGGCACUUCUGAAUUCAGAGGCUGCAAUGAGCUGAGAAAAACAAGCUUCUGUGGCCCCCUCCAGGACCCACCAGGUCAUCACGGAGCUGGAACCCUACCAAUAGCCCUGAGGAGGGAAAGAAUUCCCGAUUAACCCCAUCACCUGUGAGCAGGGCCAGGGCAAAGGUGACACACACAGCAGCAAGUGAGCCCUGCAGACAGAGACAUCCCAGAACCCCAGGCCUGGGACCAGCGCUCAGGAGCCAUCCUCUCAGCUAGAUUGCCUUCAGCCUGCCGGGAGGAGGAGCAGCCCAGCCUAGACUGAAAGCCUCCAAGGAGGAAGUUCUACCUGCUUCUCCAUGCCUCCAGACCCACUGUACCUUGUGCAUUUCAUCUGGAAUUUUCUUCUGUUGAAAGGAAGGUGCUGGGUGGGAGGAGGAGGGAGAGGAUCAGAAAAAAUAACUAAUAAAUACUAGGCUUAAUACCUGA